rnacentral:rRNA from 1 species
ACGGAAGGCAGCAGUGGGGAAUAUUGUACAAUGGGCGCAAGCCUGAUGCAGCAACGCCGCGUGAGGGAAGACGGUCUUCGGAUUGUAAACCUUUGUCUUUGGUGAAGAAGAAAGUGACGGUAGCCAGGGAGGAAGCCACGGCUAACUACGUGCCAGCAGCCGCGGUAAUACGUAGGUGGCAAGCGUUGUCCGGAUUUACUGGGUGUAAAGGGAGCGCAGGCGGGACAGCAAGUUGGAUGUGAAAUACCGAGGCUUAACCACGGAGCUGCAUCCAAAACUGUGGUGCUUGAGUGAAGUAGAGGUAGGCGGAAUUCCGAGUGUAGCGGUGAAAUGCGUAGAUAUUCGGAGGAACACCAGUGGCGAAGGCGGCCUACUGGGCGUUAACUGACGCUGAGGCUCGAAAGUGUGGGGAGCAAACAGGAUUAGAUACCCUGGUA